UUCCUACGGGGGGCAGCAGCUAAGAAUCUUCCGCAAUGGGCGAAAGCCUGACGGAGCGACGCCGCGUGGACGAUGAAGGCCGAAAGGUUGUAAAGUCCUUUUCUCUGUGAAGAAUAAGGGGGGGAGGAAAUGCCCCUGUGAUGACGUUAGCAGAGGAAUAAGCCCCGGCUAAUUACGUGCCAGCAGCCGCGGUAAUACGUAAGGGGCGAGCGUUGUUCGGAAUUAUUGGGUGUAAAGGGCGCGUAGGCGGUUUAGCAAGUCUGGUGUGUAAGGCUACAGCUUAACUGUAGUUAGGCACUGGAAACGGCUGAGCUGGAGUGCAGGAGAGGGAGCUGGAAUUCCAGGUGUAGGGGUGAAAUCUGUAGAGAUCUGGAAGAACACCGGUGGCGAAGGCGAGCUUCUGGCCUGCAACUGACGCUGAGGCGCGAAAGCGUGGGGAGCGAACAGGAUUAGAUACCCCGGUAGUC
rnacentral:rRNA from 1 species